AUGUGGUUGCCUGCUGGGUGGCGUGCAAGGGGCCAAGCAUGCAUAUCUGGUCUUUUAUUCGAUUAUUUCUUUUUUUUCCUUGAAUUAUUUGAUGUUUCUUCAUUUUUAUCAUUGUUUGCAUUUUUAGCCAAUAUGCAUCUUGCUCAUCAAUAUCUGGAUUUGCAGGUCCGUGGAAUGUGUUUACCUUCUCCUCUCUUCGAAGAAUCCAGAGAUGAUACUUAUGCACUCUAUGAACUUAUGUUGUUUAUUUGGGGAUCACAUUUAGCACAUUACUCAUGUGUGAAAUGUUACCAUCUUUUUGUGCCACUUCUUGAUUUGAUGCAAAUGGCAUGA
rnacentral:rRNA from 1 species